CUACGGGUUGCUCCAGUAAGGAAUAUUGGGCAAUGGACGAAAGUCUGACCCAGCCAUGCCGCGUGCAGGAUGAUAGCCCUACGGGUUGUAAACUGCUUUUAUAUGGGAAAAAACCCCCGGACGUGUUCGGGGCUGAUGGUACCAUAUGAAUAAGCAUCGGCUAACUCCGUGCCAGCAGCCGCGGUAAUACGGAGGAUGCAAGCGUUAUCCGGAUUCAUUGGGUUUAAAGGGUGCGCAGGCGGAAUGGUAAGUCAGUGGUGAAAUCCUACAGCUUAACUGUAGAACUGCCAUUGAUACUGUCAUUCUUGAGUACAUAUGAAGUGGGCGGAAUGUGUCAUGUAGCGGUGAAAUGCAUAGAUAUGACACAGAACACCGAUAGCGAAGGCAGCUCACUAAAUUGUAACUGACGCUCAUGCACGAAAGCGUGGGGAGCAAACAGGAUUAGAUACCCGGGUAGUC
rnacentral:rRNA from 1 species